GACCUGCGAAGGGGGUUCCUGCACAGUGGCUGCCAGAGACUCUAGGAAAGGCCGGAGGGGACGCGGAGGCGAGCUGGUGCGACCCAGGAACUGCCUGCCGAGGAGAUGCCAGCCCAGAGGUCGCAGCAAGCUGGGUGAGGACAGGGGAAGGAGUCCCAGGGAACCAGAGAUCUUGAGGGAUCUUACGCAUGGUGCAGAACCCUUGCUGUAGAGUGGUGUUGUGAAAUGAUCCAUGGCAUCAAACCACCCAGAGGAUCAAUGAUCAGUAAAGAUUAUCAUGGAGGGAAGGAAGAUGCAGGAAAACAAUUGUGAUAACAAAAAUAAACUCAAGUCAAAGUAGACCGAAAUUCAAGGGAAGCCUAAACCAUAAGUAGUGAGAGCUGAGUCCUAAGCUGGGACACCCUGACUAUAAUGUUGGACACUGGACUAUAAUUUAUGGACUAAAUUGUAAAUGAACUCCCUACUAUGGAUCUGAUCUCAGAAAUGU